rnacentral:rRNA from 1 species
AUUGAACGCUGGCGGCAGGCCUAACACAUGCAAGUCGAGCGGAUGAAGGGAGCUUGCUCCUGGAUUCAGCGGCGGACGGGUGAGUAAUGCCUAGGAAUCUGCCUGGUAGUGGGGGAUAACGUCCGGAAACGGGCGCUAAUACCGCAUACGUCCUGAGGGAGAAAGUGGGGGAUCUUCGGACCUCACGCUAUCAGAUGAGCCUAGGUCGGAUUAGCUAGUUGGUGGGGUAAAGGCCUACCAAGGCGACGAUCCGUAACUGGUCUGAGAGGAUGAUCAGUCAACUGGGACCUGGACACCGGCCCAAAUCCCUACGGGGGGCACCAGGGGGGAAUUUUGGAAAAGGGGAGAAAGCCCAAUCACGCCCUGCCGGGGGUGGAAAGAAGGUCUUCGGUUUGUAAAGCCCUUUAAGUUGGGGGGAAGGGCAGUAAGUUAAAACCUUGCUUUUUGGGCGUUACCAACAAAAAAAGCACCGGCUACCUUCGU